GUACACGCUGUGACUAGCAUAUCAAUAAGCGGAGGAAAAGAAACUAACAAGGAUUCCCCUAGUAACGGCGAGUGAAGCGGGAAGAGCUCAAAUUUGAAAUCUUAAAGGGUUUCCCUUUACGAAUUGUAGUUUAAAGAAGUGUUUUCUGUUGAGGUUUUGGUAAAAGUUCUUUGGAAUAGGACAUCAUAGAGGGUGAGAAUCCCGUAUUUGACCUUUACUUUCAACUUUGUGAUACACUUUCAAAGAGUCGGAUUGUUUGGGAAUGCAGUCCAAAAUGGGUGGUAAAUUUCAUCUAAAGCUAAAUAUUGGCGAGAGACCGAUAGCGAACAAGUACCGUGAGGGAAAGAUGAAAAGAACUUUGAAAAGAGAGUUAAACAGUACGUGAAAUUGUCAAAAGGGAAGCGUUUGACACCAGUGUUGUUUUUCUGAAAAUCAAUUAAAGGACUGUUUAUGCUAAGUUGUUUAGACUUUAUCAGCUAUCUGUUUAGUUUUGAGCUUUUCUUUAAUGCACUUUUCAGUUAACAAGUCAACAUCAAUUUCUUUUGCUGUAAAAAAGCUUGAGGAAGGUGGCUUGAGAUUCGUCUUAAGUGUUUAUAGCCUCUUGCCUAUGCAGUCGGAGAGAUUGAGGUCUGCAGCGUAGAUCCUUCGGGGCUAAAUGCAUUUGUGCUAAGUUAUAGCAUUUUAUAGACAACUUGUUGACUAUGAUUUGUCUUGUAGCUUACUCGCUUAUGUUAUUUUACCUACGCUUAGGAUGUUGACGCGCGUGUGUGCGUG
rnacentral:rRNA from 1 species